AGUGAACGCUUUCGGUAGGCCUAACACAUGCAAGUCGAACGGCAGCACAAUAAGAGCUUGCUCUUACGGGUGGCGAGUGGCGGACGGGUGAGGAAUACAUCGGAAUCUACUUUUUCGUGGGGGAUAACGUAGGGAAACUUACGCUAAUACCGCAUACGACCUACGGGUGAAAGCAGGGGAUCUUCGGACCUUGCGCGAUUGAAUGAGCCGAUGUCGGAUUAGCUAGUUGGCGGGGUAAAGGCCCACCAAGGCGACGAUCCGUAGCUGGUCUGAGAGGAUGAUCAGCCACACUGGAACUGAGACACGGUCCAGACUCCUACGGGAGGCAGCAGUGGGGAAUAUUGGACAAUGGGCGCAAGCCUGAUCCAGCCAUACCGCGUGGGUGAAGAAGGCCUUCGGGUUGUAAAGCCCUUUUGUUGGGAAAGAAAAGCAGCAGGUUAAUACCCCGCUGUUCUGACGGUACCCAAAGAAUAAGCACCGGCUAACUUCGUG
rnacentral:rRNA from 1 species